rnacentral:tRNA from 1 species
GGCGCCGUGGCUUAGUUUGUUACAGCGCCUGUCUAGUAAGCAAUAGAUCGUAAAUCCAAAUAUCACCGGCGCCU